CAGAGAAAUUCUUAAACAGAUUAAGAUUCCUUCAUUAUGAAAUUAAAAAUACUGGGUAAAUAAUUUCAAAUAAUACGAAAUAAAAUUGAGGAAAAUAUUUCACAAAAGAAAAGUGCAUAUAUAUAUAUACACACACACACACAAAUUCGUUAAAUAAAAAUUUGACAUUUUUUGCAGGUUACAGCAAUUUGGUCAGUAGCACAUAUAAGCCAAGAGAAGGUGAGUGUUAUGGAAUAUAUUAUUUUAUUAACAAAACAAUCAAAAAAAAAAAUUAAAAGCCAAUAUAUAGAUGAGCACUACACAUUUUGAUCUUCUUCCACACUAAUUCAUGCACUAAUGUUAGACUAUCACACACAAACGGUUAAUUAACCAUUUUGAUGUAAUUAAUUCAUUUUCAAAGACUUUAUUACAAUCAAACGGUAUCUCCAAGGUGUUUUUGUGGCAGUACGGGUUUUACUAUUAUUAACCUCUUUAGACUUUGCACCCAUUAAAAUAUGGCUAAACUCCAAUUUUAUCUUCCUGCUUUUGUCGCAUGCAGACAUUAACACGGCAAGUCACUAAACAGGGUUAUUCACUUAAAGGGACUAUAGUUAUCAAAACAACUUUAGCUUAAUGAAGCAGGUGUAAAUUUCAUAAAUUGGUGUACAUUUCAUGUCCCUGCAGUCUCCCUGCUCAAUUCUCAUUUAGGAGUUAAAUCACUUUGUUUAUGGAGCCCUAGGCACACCUUCAAUCAUGUGACUUGCAGAGCCUUCCUAAAUACGUCCUGUAAAAAGUUAUCUAAUGUUUGCACUUCCUUUACUGCAAAUACUGUUUAAUUUAGAGUUUCUUAACUUUAGGUCAGCUAAUAGCUUGGUAGACCCUGGAGGAGCCCCGUGUAUGUUAUUAAAGUUUAAUUAUUUUGGUGACUGUAGUGUCCCUUUAAGUGAGCACUCAGUAAUUUAAAGCAUAUUUCAUAUUUAACACAAAUACAGCAAAUGGCACAGUAGGUGACUGUAAUAGCUGUAAUAUAUAUUAAAGUGCAAUAGGUGCAAGGAAACACUCACAAAAUCAGAGCCAAGGGACCUGGCUCUGGUAUAGAUGGCUUCUGGAUCUAUUGUAGGGUGAUCCUUAACCCUUCUGUGGCUGGUAUGGUCUCCAAUAAAUAGAAGAGGAUCCAGAGGAUGGGGUAGCAAAAAAAACAACUACUUUAUUAUAAAAAAUAUACAUAAAAUAUUAAUAAAAUAUAGAAGAAUAAAAUAUAAGUGGUAAAUAGUAUUAUACUACACUUAUAUUUUAUUCUUC